CAGCAGCCACGGUAAUACGAAGGGUGCAAGCGUUAAUCGGAAUUACUGGGCGUAAAGCGUGCGUAGGCGGUGAGUUAAGUCUGCUGUGAAAUCCCCGGGCUCAACCUGGGAAUGGCAGUGGAUACUGGCUCGCUAGAGUGUGUCAGAGGAUGGUGGAAUUCCCGGUGUAGCGGUGAAAUGCGUAGAGAUCGGGAGGAACAUCAGUGGCGAAGGCGGCCAUCUGGGACAACACUGACGCUGAGGCACGAAAGCGUGGGGAGCAAACAGGAUUAGAGACCCCCGUAGUCCCUGUCUCUUAUAC
rnacentral:rRNA from 1 species